rnacentral:misc_RNA from 1 species
AGGUGAACCUGCGGAAGGAUCAUUACCGAGUUAGGGUUUCUCUCGAAGCCCGACCUCCCAACCCUUUGUCUACUGUACCUUGCCGUUGCUUCGGCGGACCGGUUGACUUGCCCGAGCGAGUCUUGACCGCCGGGGACUCGUGCCCUGGAGAGCGUCCGCCGAUGGCCUAACCACAAACUCUUGUACCAAACCAUGUCGCCUGAAUUUUACUUGAUUAAAAUCAAAAACACAAAACUUUCAACAACGGAUCUCUUGGUUCUGG